GUCAGGAGUUCGAGACCAGCCUGGCCAACAUGGUGAAACCCCGUCUCUACUAAAAAUACAAAAAUUACCUGGGUGUGGUGGUGCACUCCUGUAAUCCCAGCUACUUGGGAGGCUGAGGUAGGAGAAUCACUUGAACCUGGGAGAUGGAGGUUGUAAUGAGCUGAGAUCGUGCCACUGCACUCCAGCCUGGCUGACAGAGUGAGACUCAAUCUAAAAACAAAACAAAACAAAACAAAACAAAACUUUGAUAAAUGGCUUUGAGGCCUGUGGUAGGGCCUAAAUAACAAACGCAUACAUACGUGUAUUUUCUUCAAGAUCCAAAGGCUAGUUUACUGGGCUCUGGUGUUUGGGAAUUUUAAUUGAAAAUACUGUGAUGAUCCUAGCCAUGCUAAUUGUGUAGGUAUCUUGGCAGGACCGAGAUGGUGUCCCCUCUUGUCUCCUGCUCAUGGGACCCACACCCAGCAGGACUCAAGAAUCAAGAGAUAAACGCAUUCCUGUCCAUUUUUCCAUUUAAUCCUCACAACCACUUUGUGAGUUUGAAGCAAGAAAAUGGUUCAGAUCCCACUUUACAGACGGAGAAAGUGAGACUCAUAUUGACUUCCUCAAGGUUUCUCCUAGACUUCAAUGCAGCUCUUCUGGGUCCCAGAAUCCAGUGAGCAUCCACUGCUCUGCCAACCCUGACAGGUGUCAGGUGAGAAAAGUCCACCCAGGAAGGGAAGCAGUGGUAGAAGUAGGUCCCGGGCCUACAUCAGCUCUCUUAGGCCCCUGCCUCACUCCCUCAGCCUCUUUGGCCACUCUGUUAGUCAGGGUUCUCUGGAGAAACAGAGCCAACAGGAUAUAUACAGAUAUACCAGAGGAGGUUUAUUAUGGGAACUGGCUGACAUGGUGAUGGAGGCCAAGAAGUCCUACGAUUUUGCCAUCUGCAAGUUGGGGAAGAAUGCUGGUGGUGUCAUUCGAUCUGAGUUCAAACACCUGAGAUCAGGGGGCAGGAGGAGCACUGGUGUAAAUCCCAGAGUCCAAAGGCCCCAAACAAGGAAAUCCAAGGUCUGAGAGCAGGACAAGAUGGAUGUCCCAGCUCAAGCAGAGAGAGAGAGAAAGAGAAAGAGAAAGAGAGAGAGAGAAUGUGACCUUCCUCUGCCUUUUAUCCUGUCUGGGCCCUCCAUGGAUUGGAUGAUGUCCACUGCCCGUAGUGAUGGGGCAGAUUUUCUUUACUCAGUCUACUGAUUCAAAUGCUAAUCUCGGCCUGGUGGUGGCUCAUGCCUAUAAUCCCAGCACUCAGUACUUUGGGAGGCUGAAGCGUGUAGAUCACCUGAGGCCAGGAGUUCGAGACCAGCCUGGCCAACAUGGCAAACCCCCAUCUCUACUAAAAAUAAAAAAAUUAACUGAGCUUGGUGGCGCACAUCUGUAGUCCCAGCUACUUGGGAGGCUAAGGCAGGAGAAUCGCUUGAACACAGAAGGUGGAGGUUGCAGUGAGCCGAGAUCAUGCCACUGCACUCUAGCCUGGGCAAUAGGCCCAGACUGUCUCAAAAUAAUAAUAAUAAUAAAUAAUAAAAAUGCUAAUCUCUUCCAGAAACAUCUUCACAGGCACACCCAGAGUAAUGUUCUACCAUCUAUCUGGGCAGCCCUUAACCCAGUCAAGUUGAUGCCUAAAAUUAACCAUGAGAGUCAUUCUCUGAAAAAUGGAUAACAGGAUUAUGAGUUAUUCCAGAUGAGGUCUGUUAUGAACUGAGUUGUGCCCCCUCCCCACAAAAUUCACAUGUUGAAGACCCGUGAUGGUUAAUUUUAGGUGUCAGCUUGACUGGAUUAGGGAGUACUAGGGAACUGGUAGAGUAGUACAUCUGUGUGUGCCUGUGAGGGCUUCCAGAGGAGGCUGGCACAUGAGUCAGUGGACUGAGUGGGGAAGAUUGGCCCUCAAUAGGGAUGGGCACCGUCCAAUCAGCUGUUGGCCUUGAUGGAACAAAAAGAAGAGAAGAGGAUUUCCUCUCUUUCCUGGAGCUGGGACAUUCUCCUCCUGCCCCUUUGGACCUCAGAACCAAUAAAGCCUAUAUAUAUAUAUCUAUAUAUCUCCUGUCGGUUGUGUCUCUCUAAAGGACCCUGACUAAGUAAGCCCUAGCACCUGAUGCGAUUGUAUUUGGAGAUAAGACCUUUAAAGAGGUAAUUAAGAUUAAAAAAGAUGAUAAGGAAAGAUUAUAAGGGUGGGGCCUUAAUCUUAUAUGACUGGUGCCCUUAUAAAUGGAGGAAGAGAUACCAGGGAUGUACCUGCAC
rnacentral:lncRNA from 10 species